CUGGUGUCAGCCGCCGCGGUAAUACCAGCACCCCGAGUGGUCGGGACGAUUAUUGGGCCUAAAGCAUCCGUAGCCGGUCCUGCAAGUCUUCCGUUAAAUCCAGCUGCUCAACAGAUGGGCUGCGGAGGAUACUACAGGGCUAGGAGGCGGGAGAGGCAAGCGGUACUUUAUGGGUAGGGGUAAAAUCCGUUGAUCCAUAGAAGACCACCAGUGGCGAAGGCGGCUUGCCAGAACGCGCUCGACGGUGAGGGAUGAAAGCUGGGGGAGCAAACCGGAUUAGAUACCCGGGUAGUCCCAGCUGUAAACGAUGCAGACUCGGUGAUGGGUUGGCUUCGUGCCNACCCAGCGCCGCAGGGAACCCGUUCAGUCUGCCGCCGGGGGAGUACGGCCGGAAGACUGAAAAUUAAAU
rnacentral:rRNA from 2 species